AACCAUAGAAACCUGCGGAGUACCUGCGGAAGGAUCAUUAACUAUUUGUGGGGGAAGUAUUCUAUUCGAAUCUUUCACCAUUAAUUCAUCCAUAAUGUGGGUCAAACCACAUGCGCAAUGUUUUUUUAAAAGGGUUACUUUCGGGUACUCUUUUUUUAUUAUAAUAUGGUUCUUUUUUGGGCUAUAUUAUUAAUUUUUUUAUACUAAAUUUACUGAAUAACGAUUGACCAUAAUUUAUGG
rnacentral:misc_RNA from 1 species